UACGGAGGGUGCAAGCGUUAUCCGGAUUUACUGGGUUUAAAGGGUGUGUAGGCGGAUCUUUAAGUCAGGGGUGAAAUCCCGAGGCUCAACCUCGGAACUGCCUUUGAUACUGGGGAUCUCGAGUCCGGGAGAGGUGAGUGGAACUGCGAGUGUAGAGGUGAAAUUCGUAGAUAUUCGCAAGAACACCAGUGGCGAAGGCGGCUCACUGGCCCGGAACUGACGCUGAGGUGCGAAAGCGUGGGGAGCAAACAGG
rnacentral:rRNA from 1 species